AUGCACGCUGGCGGCGUGCCUAAUACCUGCAAGUCGAGCGAACAGACGAGGAGCUUGCUCCUCUGACGUUAGCGGCGGACGGGUGAGUAACACGUGGAUAACCUACCUAUAAGACUGGGAUAACUUCGGGAAACCGGAGCUAAUACCGGAUAAUAUAUUGAACCGCAUGGUUCAAUAGUGAAAGACGGUUUUGCUGUCACUUAUAGAUGGAUCCGCGCCGCAUUAGCUAGUUGGUAAGGUAACGGCUUACCAAGGCAACGAUGCGUAGCCGACCUGAGAGGGUGAUCGGCCACACUGGAACUGAGACACGGUCCAGACUCCUACGGGAGGCAGCAGUAGGGAAUCUUCCGCAAUGGGCGAAAGCCUGACGGAGCAACGCCGCGUGAGUGAUGAAGGUCUUCGGAUCGUAAAACUCUGUUAUUAGGGAAGAACAAAUGUGUAAGUAACUAUGCACGUCUUGACGGUACCUAAUCAGAAAGCCACGGCUAACUGCGUG
rnacentral:rRNA from 1 species